rnacentral:rRNA from 2 species
UGGUCCCACCUGAUCCCAUGCCGAACUCAGAAGUGAAACGCCGUAGCGCCGAUGGUAGUGUGGGGUCUCCCCAUGCGAGAGUAGGGAACUGCCAGGC